UGACGAGAGAGUUUGUUGAUG
rnacentral:siRNA from 1 species